GCCGCGUUAGCUCAGUUGGUCAGAGCGGGGUUCUUGUAAAACCUAGGCCGUCGGUUCGAUUCCGACACGCGGCUCCA
rnacentral:tRNA from 1 species